CCCAAUAUAAACUGGAUAAGGAAGUAGUAGAUAAUAUAUUGAAACAUUAUAAACUUUAUGUAAACAUCACACAAGAUACUUCAGAGCAAAUAGGAAUAGUAGAAGAUAAUAUGCAAGAAUUGUUUGACAAAGCACUAGAGAAUAACAAAAGGACAGAUCUUUUAAAGGAAAAAUAAUAUAUAACAUGUAUAUAGAAAAAUAAUUUAUUAAAGAUUAUUUCUAUGUU